rnacentral:rRNA from 1 species
CUACGCACUCCUACGGGAGGCAGCAGUGGGGAAUAUUGCACAAUGGGCGCAAGCCUGAUGCAGCCAUGCCGCGUGUAUGAAGAAGGCCUUCGGGUGUAAAGUACUUUCAGCAGUGAGGAAGGUGGGUAUGUUAAUAGCAUACUCAUUUGACGUUAGCUGCAGAAGAAGCACCGGCUAACUCCGUGCCAGCAGCCGCGGUAAUACGGAGGGUGCGAGCGUUAAUCGGAAUUACUGGGCGUAAAGCGCAUGCAGGUGGUUUGUUAAGUCAGAUGUGAAAGCCCGGGGCUCAACCUCGGAAUUGCAUUUGAAACUGGACAAACUAGAGUACUGUAGAGGGGGUAGAAUUUCAGGUGUAGCGGUGAAAAUGCGUAGAGAUCUGAAGGAAUACCGGUGGCGAAGGCGGCCCCCUGGACAGAUACUGACACUCAGAUGCGAAAGCGUGGGGAGCAAACAGGAUUAGAUACCCUGGUAG